CAUAACACAUCAUAACCUGCAAGUACCUUUGCGUGCUUGUAAAGCUGCCUGUUUCUUCCGCUAGUCUGUAAAUUCCAUGAAGGCAGAAUUAGUGUCAGUGUUAUCCCUGUAAAAACCCCGCAGGAUGGAUGGAAGGAGAGGAGGGGAGAGGAGGGAAAGGAAGGGAAGAAGCGAGAAGUAGUGAGAGAAGGAAGGGAAAGAGAGAAGGAAAGGAAAGAAAUAAUUUAAAAGUCUUUGUAACUAUUAUCUGAUCAAAUCUCAUAGUAACCCUAAGUGAUCUGUUAACAUGAAGUGAAAAUUAUUACGUAUGACACAGACAGCCACUAAAGCGAGCCGUAACUGAAUCUUCCAAUUAUCUGUGUGUAAAUACAGAGCUAUGCUUCUCUAAGUGGACAGCUUAAGAAUUGUGACAAACGCCCAGUAUUUCUUCCCUAUUUAUUCAUUCAGUAUGUCUCAGAAAUACAAAGCCUGAUUUUAACUCUGGCUAUGCUUACGUGAAGGAAGAACGAGUUCUCAAGAAAUUCUCCUCAUUUUUACCACUCACACAGAGAUGGAGCUUCUGGUAAAGCACACCUCUCGAUGAGGAGCUCGUGACCAAUCACAAGCAGAGAUGCUGGGGGCAGAGGACAACAUCAGAUGUGACAGCCAGGAAGGCAGACUGUGGCACGAAGAGGAUGCUCAGGAAGCCUCCUAUCGCCAGGCUCUGGGGCGGGGGGCAGGGGAGCAUCCAGGGUGUCCUUCCCCAUGGGACAUGGCCUCUGACGCUGUGAUGGACUGAGGAGGACUCGCCCAACUCACACAGCCCGUGACCCACAGAGCUGAGAUGCAGCCCCAGGUCUUAAAGGCUCAGGCUCUGAACAGACAGGGGCUGCAGGAAGUGGCGACAAAAUCACGUGCACCGCAGCGAAAGUGUGAACAGACAAGUCCAACUUGAUAUCGCACGCAGUCUUGAAGCAUCUUGGGGAGGAAGAGCCACCAACAGGAAACUUAACCAGCUGAGCUGAGCGCAGCCCCUCAUCGGCUCCGUUUUUUGCCACAACUGCCUAAAGCCCUUCUGUCAGCGCAGAGGUGAACAUCAGCUCCUACCAUCCCAGGCUGCCAGGGGAAUUGUGAGAAUUAAGGCAAUAACGCAUGCCCUGUGCACCUUAACGCUGAGGGUUCCAGGUGAAAGCUGCAUUCAAACCCCGCUCUCAUCUGAACACAAUCAGACCCAUCUUGGAAAUUCAGCUUUCAUUUUGCUGAACACUUCCUCUCAGUGUUUCUCUAUCAGCUUAUCACAAUGUAUCCCUGGCUGAGGGUCUACAGCACGUCUGGCCUUCUUCUGAUGACGAAAGGAAGAAACCACUCCCUGCGUUCUCUGCACUCAAGUAGUUUACAAUUCACGAUUCCUUCUCCCUUUCUCUUGGAUGCCUACAGCUUUUUCUUGAUGGAUGAGGCCUUCCUAUGGCACGUUCACAACCACAGGAAGGUAACUGCAGGGCACCUGUCACACAGCCAAGAAAGGCAGAGAGAAAAUAAAAAUCUGAAAGAAAGAAAGAAGGAAGGAAGGAAGGAAGGAAGGAAGGAAAGGCAGAGAGCAGUCGUUUCAUCUGCAAGAGUAUUUUCAGGUCCAGCUUUGGCCUUGUGGCCACAGCAGGGCUCCUGACCCCUUCAGCCAGCCUCAGUAGGAGAUGGAAUCAAGGCCAACAAGCUAUGGUCUAAUCCUAGUGCCAAUGUGAGUUUGUCAAAGGCUCUGAAGGCAAAUCGUGUUUUCCCUGCCUGGGGCUUGGUUUCCAUGCUUUAAAAAGGAUUCUUAGUAUUUACUGCAGUAAAAUUAAGCACUUUCAAAUAUCUGGCAGAUCUGCAUAAAUACCGUUUAUUAACACAAAGCAAGUGUGAGGCUUGAAAGGCAGGAGGCCCAAAUCUUAGUCCCUGGCCCACUGCUGACUCACUGGGUGGCUGCAGGCAAGGAACUUAAAUCAAGUGCAUCAUUUUAAUUUUCUUCUUUUUAGGGCUGCACCCUCAGCAUAUGGAGAUUCCCAGUCUAGGGUUCAAAUCCGAGCUACAGCUACUUGCCUACUCCGCCACCACAGCAACGUGAGAUCUGAGCCUUGUCUGUGACCUACCCCACAGUUCACUGUAAUGCCGGAUCCUUAACCCACUGAGCGAGACCAGGGAUCGAACCUGCAUCCUCAUGGAUCCUAGUCGGGUUCGUUACCACUGAGCCACCACAGGGACUCCCUAAGUGCAUCAUUUUAAAUGGGCACAGAGUGGAGACUUGGUAGGUGGGCAGUGCCCUGUGAGGUCUGAGGCCAGCCCAGUGGUGAAACUAAGUCAGUGUAGACAAGGCCCUUUGCCAGGGUCCUUUGCCUUGAGUGCCGUUUUGUAGCUGGUUCAUGGUGCCCACGCUGAAAUGUGACCCUAAAAUUUUUGAAAGCUUGAAGCUGAAGGAACCAGGCAAAACUUGUCACUGAAAAGCGGGGUGGCCCCACAUAUUAGCUAAGAGCACAGCUUUUAGGAGCCAACUCUGUGGAUGAGAAUCCUGAGUCUACCAUUGCUGAACUUUACUCUUCCCACCUAUAAAAUAUGAAAAAAGACUAUCUACCUGCCACAGGUUGUUGUGAAGACAGAUGCGCUAAUUCAUGUAAAGUAAGCACUAGGUGAAUAUUAGCUAUUAGCAAACAGUUAACAAGGCAUUAAAAUCAAAUAUAGUACGUAUAUAUAUUUUUCAGUUCCCAAAGCAAAUUUAUAUAGGGAGUUUCACUUGGACCAGACGGAACACCAAGAGAGAGGUAGUAAUAGAGGCAAUGUCCCCUACUUUCUUUGAGGCUCAGUCUCAUUUAUUCUUUUAUAAGCCACACUUCAGGAAAGUGACCGGGCAAGUAGAUUGAUCAGAAACAAAAAGAAGGAUAGAACUUCAAGAAAUUAAUCUCAAUUGAUGGGUUAAAUGCUACUCUAGGAACAGCUGGAGAAAUAACACCAUCCAAGUGCUGGUAUCUCCGCCUGGGGCCUCUCCCCUGAAUUACACUUUUGAACAUUCAGCUGCUGAGCCAACAUCAUCCCUGGAAUCACAACAGGCAUCUCAAAGUCAAUGUGUCUAAAACAGAACUCCUUGUUUUUCUCCCUUCCUAUACAUUUUCUCAGGUGGACAGUCCAAGGCCACAAAGGAUAGGGAUGUCUCCCUGCCCCGCCUGGGCCCAGGCCUCUUGAAGCUGAGGCUUGUCCAGGAGAAGCUCAGAGCUGCACCUGUUGAAGGCCCAUGACUUUGGAGUUACUCAUCUCUCCUCCAUCAGUACCGACAGUGGUAGUUUGUUGUAGACAGACUUAAGAUAUGCUUUGUUCUUUCUAGAGCAUCUAAGUUGCAAUUCUUAAAAUGAACAUGGUAUUAGAAUCUAUUUUAAUUUUUUUUUUUGUUUUUUUUUUAGGGCCACACCCGCACCAUAUGGAAGUGCCCAGGGUGGGGUCAGUUGGAGCUACAGCUUCCAGCCUACACCAUAGCCACAGCAACAUGGGAUCCAGGCCGCAUCUGUGAUCUAUACCACAGCUCAGAGCAACACCAAAUCCUUAACUCACUGGGUAAGGACAAGGAUCGAACCCACAACCUCAUGGAUUCUAGUCGGAUUUGUUUCUGCUGUGUCGUAACAGGAACGCCCCAGAAUCUAUUUUAGAAGGAAGCAACCAAGAUCAAAGCAGCACUAGGCAUGAUGUGCCUUGUUUAUUUACCUGUUGGAACAGGCAAGGAAACAAAAAGGGACCUGUGCAUUUCUCGUGCUUUUCAAACAGGAGCUGGAUCUCUUGAAAUGGCCAAGGAGGAGAAGACAGUUUGAUUUAGAUUUGGCAUGGGUUUAGGGGAAGAUAUGCCUUUGUAGCUGGCCUUAAAUAUUAUGGCAACAUGGACUGAGUUAGUCUCCAAGGGAGAAGUUGCCACAUGUUGUAACAGAAGCCACUGGGCUUGGCAAGGAAGGGAAUGAAAGAACGACAAUGAAAGCAACGCCAUUUUCCCACCAUGGCAAAGAUGGGCUGACUGGGACCACGCCUGUCCCUCUUUUCCAGGGAAGACCAAACCGGGCACUGCCCUUUCAAAUCAGUCUUCACCAUAUUCUAAACAAUACUGAAUUCUGAAAUUAAUUUUAAUUCCUAAUGGCUUCUUAAGGAGACCUUUUUCUUCCUCCUUACUAAAAACAUAAACAAUUCAAAAAAGAGAUUCAAAAAGAGGAACUGCACCCCCCCAAAUUCUGAGUCUGAGAAGGCUGAGAGGGUGCACUUUUCAAAUGUAUUUAUUAAUUUUAGAGCUCCAGCAAGCUGUUUUGAUGCAUGCUCCAUCUCUUACCAUUUAAAUUUUUAAAACAUUAGAUUCUUACCUAUAUCUAUCUUGCUAUUUUGACUGGUCAUU
rnacentral:lncRNA from 1 species